UACGUAGGGGGCAAGCGUUGUCCGGAAUCAUUGGGCGUAAAGCGCGUGUAGGCGGUUACGUAAGUCUGCUGUGAAAGUCGGAGGCUCAACCUUCGAAAGCCGGUGGAUACUGCGUGACUAGAGUACGGAAGAGGAGAGUGGAAUUCCUGGUGUAGCGGUGAAAUGCGCAGAUAUCAGGAGGAACACCAACGGCGAAGGCAGCUCUCAGGGACGUUACUGACGCUGAGACGCGAAAGCGUGGGGAGCAAACAGG
rnacentral:rRNA from 1 species